UUGUGAUUAUUUUCUUUUUCCCUCCCUCCCCUCUCCCUCCCUCCCCCCUUUCGCCGUGCUGACAAUGAGCUCCGGGCUCGUGUGCCCGCCUGGGAAUCUGGGAAUCGGCUGCAGACGCCGUGGCCCCGGGUCGACCACAUGUUGCCCUCGGCCCCCCUCGGCAGUGCCCUGGGGUCCACCGGAUGUCUCCGGCGAAUUGGGGCCGUAGUGUGCUGUUGACGGUGUGGUCACUAGGUGUCGCUCUCGGAUGGAUGAUGUGUGGACGAAACGCAGUGUGAGGGAGAAGACACGUCUCGCACGUGCGUGUCAACACCGGAUCGUCACGAUUUGAAGGUACAGAUGGAUCUGAGCUCACGGGUGAAGUCCACUCGGAAAAUGCGCUCCAAGGAGGAAGGGGAGCUGGAUGGGCCACGCACGGCACGCCCCACCUCCACACCUCCCCACCCCACUGCCAUCAGAGAGUCGGUUCCUUUCAGGCUGACACUGGCACCGGUUAUUGGGUAUCACCUAGCGGCCACUUUGAUCAGACAUCGGGAUGGGGAAAGUCAGCUGAUGUUGGAAGCUUAAGAGUUGACUCCUUAGAGGUGUGGAGGGCGGGGUUCAGAUCAUCGGGGUGUAGAGCACGGUCGGGUCCCACCCUCUUCUUCCUGGGCUCGCAGCUCUGGGCCCGCCCCAGGCAGCCCUAGCCUCUAGCGGAUCUCCGCCCACCCGCCCUGUUGUCUGCGAGAGGCGCCCCUCCUCCCGCUCCCUGCCUCCUCCCGGGACCAUAGGC